AUUAUUAUCCAACUCGGGCGAAAGAAAAUCUAAGCUUGAAAGGAUGGAGGAGGAGGACAAUACCGAUGAGAAGAUUAUGAGCAAUCAAAGCAAUUGGGUCACUCCGGCAGUCGAUCGAAGCAAGAUCAAGAUCAUGUUGUGCGACUACAACCCUGUCACGCGCCAAAACACCAAGGCGCAACUGCUUACUUGUCAAUAUCAAGAUACGCCUCUAUUUAUGUUCUCUCUCUCUUCUUUUUUUUUUCGAUUAUAAGGAAGCAUUUUUCUAUUUAACAGAUAUAAAAACUUCGGAUUUUCAUUAGAUUACCGUCGGCAUAUAGUAAGAUAAUAACACGCACAUCGGAUGGAACACACACUAUCAUCAUAAGAGCACAUAUAUAGCUUUUGGGAUGAAAAUUUUCGUGCACUUCAUAAGCAUCAAACUUUUCUGGGUGUGAACAUUCCGAACAAUUUUUUCUCGCUUACUUUGGCCCUCCGCUUGCACGCGAGGUGGGUCCGACGCGUGUUUUUGAACCGCAUAUAUACCACCAUGCCGUUCAAUAGGGUGAAAUGGUUCCUAACUGCAUUAAUCUUUCUGCAUAUCUUUGAGCUUCAUAGUGGCCGUAGUAAGCUCAGCGACGGAGGCAGUGGAAGCCCUCAGUGCCGAAGGGUCCAACAUAAACAUCGUGCUCGCCAAUGCCGGUCGCCCCUUGGAUUCGAGCAUCAAGAUCCUAGACUACGUUAUGGACCAAAGCCGAAAGGACAACCAGCACAUCCCGGUCAUCAGUUGAGUGUUUUUGGUGCCGGGCGCAUCUAAUUACUCAAAACUCCUCUUAAUAGGUCGACUAUUUUAAAGUGCUGUGGACAGGCUACCAUUCCUCGUUGGUCUACAACUUCUUGAGGCUCGGCGCCGCAGAUUACAUGACUCUGCCUUUGGUCGCUGAAGAACUGAAGUACCUGUGGCUGCAUAUGGAGAGCGGAGUCGGAGGCAGAAGCCGGUCAUAGUUCCUAGGUGGGUUCGAUGAUCAAAACACCGGUUCUAUCAUCAGCCCAAGUUCAUCUUUACCGGCAAUAAAAGAUUUCUUUUACUUUUACGCGAUCUUGAUGUCUUAAGUACUCUAGACAUUUAACAAGAAAGAUCGAAGAAAGAGCUGAUAGCAGUGCUGCUAUGAUAGCUUCGAGUCCAUAGAGAAAGGGCAUGGGACGAGGAAUCUCGUCCGGAACCGAGUUUGCUGCUAAAGCAUUGUAUUGUUUUAUUUCCACUGAUUGUUUUAUCAGUAAAUGUCUUUGAUAUCUAAGUGCGACUGCAGAAUUGGUUUAUUGAUCUUAA